rnacentral:rRNA from 1 species
CCCUACGGGGGGCAGCAGUGAGGAAUAUUGGUCAAUGGUCGGGAGACUGAACCAGCCAAGCCGCGUGAGGGAUGAAGGUACAGAGUAUCGUAAACCUCUUUUGUCAGGGAACAAAGGCGGGGACGUGUCCCCGGAUGAGUGUACCUGAAGAAAAAGCAUUGGCUAACUCCGUGCCAGCAGCCGCGGUAAUACGGAGGAUGCGAGCGUUAUCCGGGUUUAUUGGGUUUAAAGGGUGCGCAGGCGGUCUGUUAAGUCAGCGGUCAAAGCCCGGGGCUCGACCCCGGCCCGCCGUUGAAACUGGCAGU